GAGGUAAGGCCCUGAAAAUACUGUGGCCCAGAAUUUGCCCACUCCUCCUACGGAAGCAUUUUGUUGAAAACCUAGGAAUGGACUCGGAAAUGGACAGCUCACCGCCAGUCCCUUCCGCGCAAGAAAAAUAUAAGCUCCACUUCCACUUCCAGUCAUUAUGGAGUGACAGUGACCCAAUUUGCCCUACUGCAUGAAACUAUUAAUACAUAACACUUGGACAAAAUAUAUGAAACAAUGGUUUUUGGACAUUUGACAUAAAGGAAUGCAGAACCGUAAUCCCUGAAUGCAAAAUACAAACUGAGCUCUCUGAGUGCCCCAGCUGCUACGCCUGUAGUACAAGAAAAGGAAAUCCAGGCAGACUUUGAUGCUCUUCUUGAGUUGAAGAGAUGAAGCUGGGAGUCCAGACAGGCCCAGGUUUAGCAAAGCAGAUACCAAAGAGAAGAGAGAUGCACAGAGAGAGAGAGAUGCAAAGGAUCUCUCCAGUCUUCAGCUCCAUAAUGCUAAACACUGGUGUAUGAAGAAACUACUUGAAUGGGGUGGAGAUGGGGCAUUGAAGAAAUCACUUGCACAGAGCAAAGGAAGCAAAGGAAUUAUCAUAAUCCUCAGGACUCAAGCAGUGCCAGGAAUACUAAUGUUCCCAUCAGCCGAGUGGAAAACCCUGCAAAUCACAGGACAUUGGCUAGACUACUCAGAAAUUUAUUGCCUCAGGAAUAAGGAAAAUGAGGCCUAGUCUAAAGGCUUCUCUGUUUCUAACUAACCAAGCCUAAUAGCAAUGUUUGAAAAGAUCAAGCUACUUCCAAGUAACUUAACUGUAUCAUGAAAAAAAAAGAAGCUCCAGAAUAUUUAUAGGAAUAAAAGAAUUUUCAGUACUCGAUAGAGUACAAUGCACAAUUAGUUUAGCAACUACUAAAAAAUUAUCUGGCAUACAUACUGUCCAAAGCAAUUUAUAGAUUCAAUGCUAUCUCUAUCAAACUACCAAUUCCAUUCUUCACAAAAACUAGAAAAAAACUAAUUUAAAAUUCACUUGGAAACAAAAAAGAGCCCAAAUAACCAAGACAAUCCUAAGCGAAAAAAACAAAGCUGGUAGCAUCACACUACCUGACUUCAAACUGUACUACAAGGCUGCAGUAACCAAAAUAGCAUGGUACUAGUAUAAAAACAAACACAUAGACCAAUGGAAAAAAAUAAAGAGCCCAGAAAUAAGGCCACACACCUUCUUCAACAAAGCUGAAAAUCAAUCUGAUCUUCAACAAAGCUGAAAAAAAAAAAAAACAAGGAAGGGGGAAAGGACUCCCUGUUAAGCAAAUGGUGCUGGGAUAACUGGCUAGCCAUAUGGAGAAGAUUGAAACUGGAUCCCUCCCUUACAUAAUAUACAAAUGUUAACUCAAGAUGGAUUAAAGACUUAAAUGUAAAACUCAAAACUAUAAAAACCAUGGAAGACAACCUAGGUAAUAUCAUUCUGGACAUAGGAAAGGGCAAAUAUUUCAUGACAAAGACACCAAAAGCAAUUGUGACAAAAGCAAAAAAUGGCAAAUAGUAUCUAAUUAAACUGAAGAGCUUCUUCACAGCAAAAGAAACUAUCAGCAGAGUAAAAAGACAACCUACAGAAUGCAACAAAAGCAAAACUUGACAAAUGGAAUCUAAUUAAAGCAGAGAGCUUCUGCACAGCAAAAGAAACUAUCAACAGAGUAAAAAGACAACUUACAGAAUGGGAGAAAAAUUUUGCAAACUCCACAUCUAACAAAGGUCUAGUAUCCAGCACCCAUAAGGAACUUAAAUUUACAAGGGAAAAAAAAAAAACAUUAAAAAGUGGGCAAAGGACAUGAACAGACACUUCUCAAAAGAAGACAUACAUGUGGCCAACAAUCAUAUGAAAAAAAGUUCAACAUCACUGACCAUUACAGAAAUGCAAACCAAAACCACAAUUAGAUAGGAUCUCACACCAGUCAGAAUGACUAUUAUUAAAGAGUAAAAGAAUAACAGGCGCUGGUGAGGUUUUGGAGAAAAAGGAAACCUUAUACACUGUUGGUGGGAGUGUAAAUUAGUUCAGCCAUUGUAGAAGACAGUGUGGUGACUCCUCAAAAACCUAAAGACAGAAAUACCAUUCAACCCAGCAAUCCCAUUACUGAGUAUAUACCCGAAGGAAUAGAAAUCAUUCUAUUAUAAAGACACUUGUAUGCAUAUGUUCACUGCAGAACUAUUCACAAUAGCAAAAACAUGUAAUCCACCUAAAUGUCCAUCAGUGGUAGACUGGAUAAAGAAAAUGUGGUACAUAUGCACCAUGGAAUACUAUGCAACCAUAAAAAAGAAUGAGAUCAUGUCCUUUGCAGGGACAUGGAUGGAGCUGGAGUCCAUUAUCCUUAGCAAACAAAUGCAGGAACAGAAAACCAAAUACUGCAUGUUCUCAUUUAGAAGUGGAAGCUAAAUGAUGAGAACACAUGGACACAGAGAGGGGAACAACACAAACUGGGGCCUUUCAGAGGUUGGAGAGUGGGAAAGAGGGAGAGGAUCAGCAAAAAUAAGUAAUGGGUAUUUGGCUUAAUACCUGGGUAAUGAAAUAAUCUAUACAACAAACCCCCAUGACACAAGUUUACCUAUGUAACAAACCUGCACUUGUACCUCUGAACUUACAAGUUAAAAAAAAAUUAAAGAAUAUCUAAAUAAAGGAAG
ensembl:lncRNA novel transcript, antisense to SLC4A10